GAAAGGAUGCUUCAGAGGAUCGAUGACUCAUCCUUUAUUUCGGGCCCUGUGAGAGGCAGCCAGCCUGAAAGACAUCGAAGAGAUGAGCAGUGCUGAUAUUUUCAAGAUGAUGACAUGUCUUGGAGACCCUUCUGCAUAGUUACAUAAAGACCUGCCUUGUUUUGAACCGCUGAUGUGUAUCCUGUGUCCCUGGGAGAGCUGAAGCAUAUACCCAGGACCACCGGAUCAUCGCAGAGGGGCAUCAGCAUGACAACUACAGAAUCUGGACACUCCAUGGGAAACAAACGUGAGAAGCCUCAGAAAGGUGGAGACGGGAGCAGAGCAGCUCCGACCUCCAGGUCUGAGGAAGGACUCUGUGGGGUUUCCCUGACUCUCCGCCUGUCUCGUGCAUCUCGGACGAGGCUCUGGGAAUUGAGGCCCGGUGGAAAUACACAGGCUUGUGCAGACCCCUCCAGAACCUGUCUGUUUCCCCCAAAGACCCAGAAAGAGACAGUGGGACAGAAAAGUUUUAGAUAAAUACUGCCCUCCUGGAGUCAAGCACCCCGGAGAGAGCUGAGACCCCACACGCACCGGGCCGCAGAAGCCGAGAGGGGAGGUAGACUGCCACCUCUGCAGGCGCAGAGUUCUGGCACCUUCCGGCGUCACGUCAGGAGCUGGGACUUCCAUCCCAGCAGAAGAUAACAGGCCCCUGUGGGCUGAGAGCCCAAGGGGGGAUCCUGGACAUCUACCCGCUGGAAGCUCCUCCACUCCCGCUGUGGUGGCCCAGCAGGCGGGGGCUGGGGACCUUUCACAGGAACCCAGAAGGAACGACAGUGUGUCCACUGCCGGGCCAGGGAGACUGUCUGAGGGAGCCGCCUCUCUCCUGAGUGUCGAGGAGCCCCUUGCCUGGGGGCCAACAGAGUCAAAUGGGGAGCCUGGAUUUCUCCUUUGCCUUCAGUAAUGACUGCUUUCCCCGCCACGACUGAGCCAGAGGAAGCCAGAGGCUUCAAUAAGACCCAGAGGAGCUGGGGAGAUAGCUCAGUUGGUAGAGUGCUUGUCUUGCAAGCACAAGGCCCUGGGUUUGAUCCCCAGCACCGCAAAAAAAAAAAAAAAAAAAAAAAAAAGAAAAAGACCCAGAGUGACCCAAUACAGUAUUGAAAUGCACAUGUUUCAGUUGAAAAUCAUGGAUCAUACCAUGAACCAAGAAGCUCUCAAAUGGAAUAAAAAUGACAGCCGAUAGAUGCCAAUGCUGAGAUGGCAGAGAGGGCAAUUUGGGAGAUAUUUUAAAGCAGCCAUUAUAAAAGUGCUUCAAAGAGUAAUUGCCAACACACUUGAGAUGAGAAAACAUAGAAAACUCUUGCAAAAAUAGAAAGCAAAUUAAUAUAAGGAGAACCAGAAGAGCAUUUUAGAAUGGAAAAAAAAAAAAAAAAACUUAAAUAAAAGCCAUCAGUGAGCUGGGUGCCAGUGGUGCAUGCCUGUAAUCCCAGCAACUCAGGGGCUGAGGCAGGAGGAUUGCAAGUCCAGGGCCAGCCUCCCCUGGUUUCAAUCCCCAGUGCCAAACAAAACAAAACAAAACAACCCACCAGAAAACAAAAAACAAUGACAACAAACCAAACCAAAAUAAUGGCAACAACAAAACCCCAUGGUGUGUGUCCUCAGCAGCACAAUGGAGAGGCCAGAGGACAGAAUCUGUGAACCAAAGACAAAACAAGAACAAUGGACAUUCCCAAAUCUGAACAACUCACAGAAAAUAGACCAGAAAAAGAAUAGAACUGGAGGAACCUGUGGAAUUAACAGAAGACCUAACAUGGUGUCUUCAAAGUCCCAGAAGGAAAUAAGAAAGAGCAGGGCUGAAAAACAUCCAGAGAGACAACAGUCAAAAACUCCCCAAAUUUGCAAGGGGCAAAACCCACCAAUUCCCAAAAAGCUGAGCAAACCCCAUAAGAGAUGAUCUCAGAGAAGUCCACGUGAACAUAUAUCACAGCGAAACUUUGGAAAACUAAAGACCAAAGAAAACUGUUGUAGUAGAGAAAAAGGAUUUGAACCACAGCAGAUUUCCUAUCAGAAACCCAUGGAGGCCAGAGGAAGUGGCCUGACAUUUUUCAACCACUAAAAAAACCAUGACACCAGAACUCUACAUUCAGCAAAAGUGACAUUUAAGAAUGAGAGGGGAAUCAAGACCCUUUCAGAUGAAGAAAAACUGAAUUUGUCACUAGCACACUUAUCUUAAAUGAAGAGUUCAAGGAAGUUCCUUAAACAGAAAGGAAAAAGUAGAAGAAGGAAUCUUAGCUCAUCAGGAAGGUGGUAGAUCUUCCCUCUUCUCUUGAGUUCUCUAAAUCAUGUCUGACAGUCAGAGCAGAAGUUUUGACACGGUCUGAUGUGGUUCUCGGAGGAAGCAUUUAAGAUGUGUAUAACCAGGAGAAGGUGAUGGAGGCAAGAUUUCUGUCCUUCACUCUAACUGGUGGAAUGAUCCACGUGUGUCGUGCUAAUUUACGUAUAUGUAAUGUUAUACCUAGAGUGACCACUGAGAAAUGCUAUCGGAGAUACACUGAUGGACCCAAUAACAUUCAGGUAAGCUGAAGGAAGGCAAUAAAAAUAAAGCUGAGAAACGAAAAACAAUACAAUUUAAGCAGGAAAGGCUUUAACCUUAACAUAUUAAUAAUUACACUAAAUGUAAAUUGUCCAAAUAAUUUAGAUAAAAAGCAGAGCUUGGCAGAGUGGUUUAAGAAACAUAACCAAGCUCUAUGCUGCCUGUAAGACAUUCAAUUCAAAUAUAAAAAUAGAGGCAGGUUGAAUGUAAAAGAAUAGAAAGUGAUAUUUUAUACAAAGAUUAGCCAAAGAAAAACAGGAGUGACUCUAUUAAUUUCAUGUAAAGUAGAUUUCAGAGAAAAAAAUUACCAUAGACAAGGAAGGAUAUUGAAUAAUGAUAAAAGACUCAAUUCAUCAAGGAAAUAUAGCAAUCCUAAAUAUGUCUGUAAAACAGAAUAGUCUGCAUUAUAUGAAAAAAAAACUAGUAGCACUGAAGGAGAACUAGACCAACCCACUUUGGUGCAUCUGUCUGGUACUCAGGAUGAACUCAGGGUCUCAUGCCUAUUAGGCAAGUACUGUGUCCCCAGUCCACCGACCCAUUUUAAUAGACAACUUCAAUAUACCUCUUUCAACUAUUGAUAGAUAUUUACAUAGAAAAUCAGCAACCAUAUAGAAAAACUCAACAACAUGAUCAACCAAUAAGAUCUGAUCCAGCAUCUAUGGAACAGUCCACCCAACAGAAGCAGAGAACACAUUCACUUCCCUCCUGGAAUCAUCAAAAUACAACCUAUCUUGUGCUCUCUGUGUGUGUGUGUGUUUGUGUGUGUGUGUUUAUUUUAUUUUUUGAGUUACUAGGGAUUGAACCCAGGUCCUCAUGCAUGCUAUCACUGAGCAGGCGCUCUAUCACUGAGCUGUAUCCCUAGCCCCAAGAGAGAAGUUUUUAACAAUGAAUGCAUGCAAACAUUAGUAAAAAGGAAAAAGUCUCACAUUGAUAUCUAAACUCCCAACUCAAGAACCUAGAAAAAAGAACAAAAUAAACUGAAAGGAGGCAGAGGAAUUGAAUAAUAAGGAUGAGAACAGAAAUCAAUGAAGUUGAAAACAGAGCAAUAGAGAAUAGUAAUGAAGCAAAGAGUGAGUGAGGUAGGGGGAAGGAAAAGGGAGAGGGAGAAAGAGAGAGAGAAAGGAUUAUUAAUAUCAGGAGUGAUCCAGGGACUAUUACUAAAGACAUCAGAACAUCAAAAGGAUAAUGAGGAAAUGCUCAGAACAACUCUGUAAGCAUAAAUCUGAAAUCUUAGAAGAAAUGUACCAAUUCCUCAAAAACCACAAAAUACCACAGCUCACUCAGUGUAUAAAAUAACUCAAAUAACCCUAUAAC